GUGAUUGUAAUCUCGCUCUUUCCAUAUCAUUAUCGGCCUUAAUCAUUGUGUAUUAUUGUGGUUGACCAUCAAUGGCCAUCAAAACGAAUAAGGAAACAUUUGCAAAUUUUUCCAAUCAUCGAUAAUGGAAUGAAAAAUAUGGAUUUAUCAUUCAUCAAUUUACUAAGGAACGGUUAAUAUUGAAGUGAUGAAAUGUCUGAUCAAAACGAUAAUAAUAAUUUCAAUGAUAAUCGGCAAGAUCGAAAACUUAUCUCGUGUUCAUCACUAUCACUUCCGGAUAAAAUUUUAUCCACUUCAAAUCUUCCAAAUAAUGGAUCUCGAUCUUCAUGGUCUUCAUCAUCAUCGACUAGACGUUCAGAACCGUCUAAAAAAAUUCUUCAACCAUUAUCAUCAUCAUC